UGGCUAAUAAGUGACGGUACCUUACCAGAAAGGGACGGCUAACUACGUGCCAGCAGCCGCGGUAAUACGUAGGUCCCGAGCGUUAUCCGGAAUUAUUGGGCGUAAAGGGCACGUAGGCGGACAAAUAAGUUUGAUGUCAAAUAUGAUGGCUCAACCAUCAAGAGGCGUUGAAAACUGUUUAUCUAGAAUCUCGGAGAGGUAAGUGGAAUUCCAUGUGUAGCGGUGGAAUGCGUAGAUAUAUGGAGGAACACCAAUGGCGAAGGCAGCUUACUGGACGAAGAUUGACGCUGAGGUGCGAAAGCGUGGGUAGCAAACAGGAUUAGAUACCCUGGUAG
rnacentral:rRNA from 1 species